CACCGGCAGCUCAAGUGGUGGCCAUUAUUAUUGAGCCUAAAACGUCCGUAGCCGGUCUUCUAAAUCCUUGGGUAAAUCGGGCAGCUUAACUGUCCGAAGUCCGGGGAGACUGGAAGACUUGGGACCGGGAGAGGUCAGAGGUACUUCUGGGGUAGGGGUAAAAUCCUGUAAUCCUAGAAGGACCACCGGUGGCGAAGGCGUCUCACUAGAACGAAUCCGACGGUGAGGGACGAAGCCCUGGGGCGCAAACGGG
rnacentral:rRNA from 1 species